rnacentral:rRNA from 1 species
GACGAACGCUGGCGGCGGGCUUAACACAUGCAAGUCGAACGGAAAGGCCCUGCUUUUGUGGGGUGCUCGAGUGGCGAACGGGUGAGUAACACGUGAGUAACCUGCCCUUGACUUUGGGAUAACUUCAGGAAACUGGGGCUAAUACCGGAUAGGAGCUCCUGCUGCAUGGUGGGGGUUGGAAAGUUUCGGCGGUUGGGGAUGGACGCGCGGCUUAUCAGCUUGUUGGUGGGGUAGUGGCUUACCAAGGCUUUGACGGGUAGCCGGCCUGAGAGGGUGACCGGCCACAUUGGGACUGAGAUACGGCCCAGACUCCUACGGGAGGCAGCAGUGGGGAAUAUUGCACAAUGGGCGGAAGCCUGAUGCAGCAACGCCGCGUGCGGGAUGACGGCCUUCGGGUUGUAAACCGCUUUCGCCUGUGACGAAGCGUGAGUGACGGUAAUGGGUAAAGAAGCACCGGCUAACUACGU